rnacentral:rRNA from 1 species
GAGUAAUGCCUAGGAAAUUGCCCUGAUGUGGGGGAUAACCAUUGGAAACGAUGGCUAAUACCGCAUAACGCCUACGGGCCAAAGAGGGGGACCUUCGGGCCUCUCGCGUCAGGAUAUGCCUAGGUGGGAUUAGCUAGUUGGUGAGGUAAGGGCUCACCAAGGCGACGAUCCCUAGCUGGUCUGAGAGGAUGAUCAGCCACACUGGAACUGAGACACGGUCCAGACUCCUACGGGAGGCAGCAGUGGGGAAUAUUGCACAAUGGGCGCAAGCCUGAUGCAGCCAUGCCGCGUGUGUGAAGAAGGCCUUCGGGUUGUAAAGCACUUUCAGUCGUGAGGAAGGUAGUGUAGUUAAUAGCUGCAUUAUUUGACGUUAGCGACAGAAGAAGCACCGGCUAACUCCGUGCCAGCAGCCGCGGUAAUACGGAGGGUGCGAGCGUUAAUCGGAAUUACUGGGCGUAAAGCGCAUGCAGGUGGUUUGUUAAGUCAGAU